UACGUAGGUGGCGAGCGUUAUCCGGAAUGAUUGGGCGUAAAGGGUGCGUAGGUGGUUAAUUAAGUCUGAUGUGAAAGCCCACGGCUUAACCGUGGAGGGUCAUUGGAAACUGGUUGACUUGAGUGCAGAAGAGGGAAGUGGAAUUCCAUGUGUAGCGGUGAAAUGCGUAGAGAUAUGGAGGAACACCAGUGGCGAAGGCGGCUUCCUGGUCUGCAACUGACACUGAGGCGCGAAAGCGUGGGGAGCAAACAGG
rnacentral:rRNA from 1 species